UGUUCACAUUCUUGAGUGCCAUCUGCUGGCACCUCGUCUGUCCUCUCUGCUGUCUACCUAAGUGUGUUAUUCUCUCAGAGGCUGUUCAUUGUUUCACUAGUGAUUUUCAAAGAGAGAAGGCUAUCCAAGAGUUUCUAAAUAUCUAAGCUGACCCAUCUCUCCAUGCAAACUUUGGAUCAGAGGCUAUAAACAGCAAUGCUAUGGUGACGGUGAAGUAGACACAUACCACUGGUCUAUGGUUUGCAUGAAGCAUGAGUCUGAACAUACUGUUAUGCUGCUGUUUUGAGACUACUAAAGGAGAAAAAAAUGUAAGACUGACAGUCACUUAUCUCCUGCCUCACUUAAGAAACCUGUGAGGGUAUUGCUAUUUUCAUGUGAUACUUCAACAAUUUUUUUUUUUUUUGAAGACACCAUGUCUUACUUCAGUCAGUACAUCAUGCAUGGGCACAUGUAGGACACAACUGUCUGUAACACUGUAUUUAAUCCUGGAAAAAAAUACUAUAUUUUGGUGCUAAAACCUACCCUAAAUUUGAAGAUUUUAUAUUCUGUAAUUCUACAGAUACCAGAAAACACCUUCUCUUCUGCAUAUAUAUUGGUUUUUAUAAUUGCAUUGUACUAUACAAAAGGUUUAUUUUGCUGCUGGUCCAGACAUUACACAAGUCUUCAGCCAGAUUUGCUCUCUGGGCAACAGAUAAUAUCAGGUGUAAUUUCACUGACUGUUGAAGUAACUCUGAGAAGCGCUCACUGUUCUUUCUAGGUUAAUCAACUAGACGAAUAUAACCCACAGUUUAAAAACCAGUCCACGCUGCUAGCAUAGUAGUGAGCUUGGUGUUUCUCCACAAGUGACUCCUUAAGAAUGUUAUAAUGUAACUUACCUCUCUCUUUACCACUGUACGGGAACGGUUGAGUCCUGGCCUGAACCACUGAUGGAGCACCUGGAGAAAGGACCUGAUCAGCCUUGGGAGCACAGGUGAAGGCAGUUCAGCUGUGUGAUAGGAAGGAGUGGAACCUGGCUGCAUCUCUCUUAGAUCUCAUUGAAGGGCUGACUGCCACGGAGGAAGGCUCUUUGGUUGGAGAUUCUUCCCUUGUGGAGUUUCCCCUGUGAGCCUAAAUCUUCAGAGAUGGAGUGUUUCAGAAGUGGCUUCAGACAGGCUGUGUUCUGGGCUCCAUUCAUUGCAAGGCUUGGUGUAUUUUACCUAACUGGAGGCUCUGACAG
ensembl:lncRNA